UGCCUACGGGUGGCUGCAGUGGGGAAUAUUGCACAAUGGGCGCAAGCCUGAUGCAGCCAUGCCGCGUGUAUGAAGAAGGCCUUCGGGUUGUAAAGUACUUUCAGCGGGGAGGAAGGUGUUGAGGUUAAUAACCUCAGCAAUUGACGUUACCCGCAGAAGAAGCACCGGCUAACUCCGUGCCAGCAGCCGCGGUAAUACGGAGGGUGCAAGCGUUAAUCGGAAUUACUGGGCGUAAAGCGCACGCAGGCGGUCUGUCAAGUCGGAUGUGAAAACCCCGGGCUCAACCUGGGAACUGCAUUCGAAACUGGCAGGCUAGAGUCUUGUAGAGGGGGGUAGAAUUCCAGGUGUAGCGGUGAAAUGCGUAGAGAUCUGGAGGAAUACCGGUGGCGAAGGCGGCCCCCUGGACAAAGACUGACGCUCAGGUGCGAAAGCGUGGGGAGCAAACAGGAUUAGAUACCCCGGUAGUCU
rnacentral:rRNA from 1 species